rnacentral:rRNA from 1 species
GCUUAAUACAUGCAAGUCGAGCGAGGUAGCAAUACCUAGCGGCGGACGGGUGAGUAACGCGUGGGAACAUACCCUUUGGUACGGAAUAGCCUCGGGAAACUGGGAGUAAUACCGUAUGUGUCCUUUCACUGUAGUGGUGGGGGGAGAAAGAUUUAUCGCCGAAAGAUUGGCCCGCGUCUGAUUAGCUAGUUGGUGAGGUAACGGCUCACCAAGGCGACGAUCAGUAGCUGGUCUGAGAGGAUGAUCAGCCACAUUGGGACUGAGACACGGCCCAAACUCCUACGGGAGGCAGCAGUGGGGAAUAUUGGACAAUGGGCGCAAGCCUGAUCCAGCCAUGCCGCGUGAGUGAUGAAGGCCCUAAGGUUGUAAAGCUCUUUUGUGCGGGAAGAUAAUGACGGUACCGCAAGAAUAAGCCCCGGCUAACUUCGUGCCAGCAGCCGCGGUAAUACGAAGGGGGCUAGCGUUGCUCGGAAUCACUGGGCGUAAAGGGUGCGUAGCGGGUCUUUAAGUCAGGGGGUGAAAUCCUGGAGCUCAACUCCAGAACUGCCUUUGAUACUGAGGAUCUUGAGUUCGGGAGAGGUGAGUGGAAACUGCGAGUGUAGAGGUGAAAAUUCGUAGAUUUCGCA